GAGUGGUAUUUUCGAUAAAAUAUAUGUAGUUGAUAAUUACUUUUUGCAUCCCUUAUUUUAGUUGAAAAAAAAUCAUUGAACGAAUUGGGCGACGGUCAUCAAUUCCUAAAAGACUACCUUUACAAUCGUGUUAACGAGUUAACGUGUCAUUUUUACCAUACAUUUUUCAGUACUGGCAGUGCCUGUUAUAGUGAAAUAAAAGUAUAAUAUAGUGAGUGGAAAAAUAGAUAACUCCAGAUCUCAUUUAAAUCAAUAUUUAAAAACAACAAGAGUCAGCUAGUCUAGAACAGAGGAGAACGGUAAUAAAGACAGACGUAGGAGUCUGCUUUGCGCAGCUACGUAGAAGCUAUUAAUUUAUAAAUUGCGACAACGUUAUAUCGUAAU
rnacentral:sRNA from 1 species